rnacentral:rRNA from 1 species
CCCUUAGAUGUUCUGGGCUGCACGCGCGCGACAAUGACGUUUGCAACGAGAUUGCGAGGCCGUCAGGUCGAGCUGAUCUUGCAAGCUGCGUCGUGAUAGGGACAGUCGAUUGCAAUUAUUCGACUCGAACGAGGAAUUCCUUGUAAUCGCGCAUCAUCAGUGCGCGCUGAAUACGUCCCUGCCCUUUGUACACACCGCCCGUCGCUCCUACCGAUUGAGUGAUCCGAUGAAUGUUUUGGAUCGGCUUCAAGUUGGUUCGCGCCUCUUGCUUGCUGUGAAAUCAUGUAAACCUUAUUGCUUAGAGGAAGGAGAAGUCGUAACA